GAAGAAUUAAUAGCACGCUCACCAGGGAUUAAUUUGUACUCACAAUGGCUGAAUAUUCACUCACUAAUGGCUACGGCAGGCCUGGAGGGUCCAUAGCACACUACCCAUUGGUUAAAUUAUAUUUACCAGGUCUGAAUAUACACCCACCAAAGGCUAGUCGUGAGUGAAAAUUGAAUCCUGCCAGCAUGCCAUUUUUCUAAAAGAGCUAGUAAAACCUCACAUGAUCACUUCAGCCUUUUUUUUAUAAACCUCAUCGGCGAGGCAAAAACAAAUAGACAAUAUGAGCGUACUGAGAAUGGACAAAAACUCGGUAGCCUACCUUCCAUUUUUUGCAUAAAUUGUAAAGCCCUCUGGAUAGCAGUGUUAAUUUUGGCAGCAAAUUUCAAUUUUGUUUUAGUCAUAGCCUUUUGACUAAAAAGCUAUUUUAGUUUUAGUCGUAUUUAAGUCAAUUGAAUUAUUUUAGUUUUAGUCUAGUUUUAGUCUACUAAAUCUCCAGAUGUUAGUUGACACGACUAAAAUCUAGUGGGUUUAGUUAUAGCCUCUAUCUGUCUCUUGUGCCCCUUCCCAGGCCCCUCUGUGUCUCUUUGUGUCCUCCCAGCCCCUUUAGGUGUCUCUCUCCCAAGCCCUGGUUUGCCUCUUUUGCCCCUUCGUAGGCCCCUCUGUGUCUCUUUGUGCCCUCCCAGCCCCUUUAGGUGUCUCUCUCACAAGACCUGGUUUGACUCUUUUGCCCCUCUGUGCAGUGUAAAUUUUGGCGGCAAAUUUCAAUUUAGUUUUAGUCAUAGUCUUUUGACUAAAAAGCAACUUUAAUUUUAGUCGUAUUUUAGUCAGCUGAAUUGUUUUAGUUUUAGUCUAGUUGUAGUUGACUAAAUCUCAAAAAAAAUUGUUGACUAAAAUUGUUAGUCGACAAAAUUAACACUGCUGGAUAGUGGUACUACCUAAAAACAAAUCAGGUCCUAAGCACGAUUUUGCUCCCAUGUACCAUUGCAGAGAGCACCUAGACCUGUCACAUAUCACACACACACAGCUAUUCCCUAGAGUGAAAAUUCAAAUAGAAUUUAAAGUGAAUUUCAAAUCUAAGGUCAAAAUAGCUGAACAGGAACAGGUCUCUAAGUUAACUAUGAAAUCCAUAAAUUUAACUCACUUUUAACUCGCUUUAAAUUAAUACUUAAUUAACCCCUUAAGGACAGAUGACGGAAAUAUUCCGUCAUGAUUCCCUUUUAUUCCAGAAG